CUGUGAGAUUACAUAUGCAUAUAGUGUUAAUACUAUAAGAGUGUAGUAUCUACUCACAAAGUUAUCAGGUUAAAUAGCUUUAUCAACUAAUAAAAAUGUUAUUGCAUAACUAAUGUUAUACUGUAGCCCUGCCACGAUAUCCAGCGAAAAUUAUUUUGCUGAGUAUCGUAGUAAAAGUUAAGAUAUGAUGUUAAGAAUUUUUUUGAGUCGUGCAACAACAUUAACAGCAAACUAUAAUACAAAUCUAUCUUUUUAAAAGUUUGUAUUGCU
rnacentral:misc_RNA from 2 species